AACGCGAAGAACCUUACCUGGUCUUGACAUCCACGGAAGUUUUCAGAGAUGAGAAUGUGCCUUCGGGAACCGUGAGACAGGUGCUGCAUGGCUGUCGUCAGCUCGUGUUGUGAAAUGUUGGGUUAAGUCCCGCAACGAGCGCAACCCUUAUCCUUUGUUGCCAGCGGUCCGGCCGGGAACUCAAAGGAGACUGCCAGUGAUAAACUGGAGGAAGGUGGGGAUGACGUCAAGUCAUCAUGGCCCUUACGACCAGGGCUACACACGUGCUACAAUGGCGCAUACAAAGAGAAGCGACCUCGCGAGAGCAAGCGGACCUCAUAAAGUGCGUCGUAGUCCGGAUUGGAGUCUGCAACUCGACUCCAUGAAGUCGGGAUCGCUAGUAAUCACAGAUCAGCAACGCUGCGGUGAAUACGUUCCCGGGUCUUGUACACACCG
rnacentral:rRNA from 1 species